CGGAGCGUGGUGCUCGUCGGCGACGGGCGGCGGCCGAAAGAGAGCGACGAGGCAGGGACGACUCGGAGCUUGCGGGAGUCGAUGAGAGGCACCACCAGGUUCACUAGGUCUCCACGGAGCUGGGGAAGGUCGCGUAAAAGGGCCGGGGCUCAUCGGUCCAGGAGAUCGACACGGCGGCGGCUCGACACCGGAGUCGAGGAAGA
rnacentral:lncRNA from 1 species